rnacentral:lncRNA from 1 species
GGAGUGUGGAAGGCAGGCCACAGGCUUUGCAUAGGGGACCGUCGAAUGGUCUCGUUACCCAGAGCCGGACCCAAUAUGGAUGGGGAGAGUUCAUUUGGUGAUGUCGACUCCCCUGAUAAGGUGUGUGUGGAAUAUGUUUCUGCUGUCACCGUAGCCUCCAUCUGUUCCUGAUUCACAGCACUCUCAGGAAGGGGACCUUUUUCUCUGAGGAAAAUGUAAUGUGGCCCUUACCAGAGUCUGAGUUGAUGGUGGACGAUCCAACGAUCUUGGAAGCUCUGCCUUUUGAGAGUCUUAUAAGCCAUCUCAGAGGCAAGCCUCCACUUUUACACUUGCCAAUAGAUGCCGCACAUGUAUGCUCACUGGAUAUUUUUGUGUCAAAGACUGUGGUCUACUCCCUAACCAUUUUUUUUCUUUUCAACAUUACUAUUUUGUUUAGGAAAACAAUUCUUUAUUUGGACAAACAGUCUAGACUGAAGUAAAAAAAAAACCCGUACCAUCUCAUG